rnacentral:misc_RNA from 1 species
AACGCACGAGACCUGCGGACCUGCGGAAGGAUCAUUAUUGAUUUUUAAAGGAUGUGCUGGCCCCCCCCCCCUCCCGGGUGGAGGCAUGUGCACUCCCAAAAAAAACCAAACAUCCACCUGUGCACUUUUUCAGUAGGCAAAAAAGACUUGUCGUUUCUGCAAGUCAUUCUUGUCUAUGUUUCAUUACAAACACUUGAGUUUAUUUGAAUGCCUCACAUACAAUGACCAUAAUUUGUAAUA